CUCGACCCAGGCCGAGGCGGAAGCCUUUCUUUUCAGCUGCCUGGGGAUAAUUGCGGUUUUCGAGGUUUAGUGGCUCCCUUACAAUCUUACAAUCCGUUUACGGGAGGGGAGGAGGAACUGAAUUCGGUGGCUUCCGAGCUUUUUCUUUAGUGGAAACAAGUUUUAAGAAUGCAGUAUGGAUCAUCGUAAUGCAAGCUGUACAUCAUUCCAAUUGAAAAGUCUUCCUAUUAAGAAUUUUGAAAGAUUGGCUUUCAGUUUUUGCAUUUGCAGCACAUGGCCACGAGAGAGUAGACCUCCGUUCCCCACGGCUAGUUUCUUCCUGCUUGGGGGACCUCGAUGGGUCUGAAGUUGCCCCGGAGAGGUGACUGUGAAGGAGGGGCGCCCCGUCUAUCAUGAAGCGACGGCAAUCACUUUGUUUGAUCCGAGGAAAGCCCUCCAAACCCCAAGAAGAAAGGCUAGUGUGAAAUCAGCAUCUAGCUCAAGCUGCUUGCAACCGAAGUCCCAGGGCACGAACCUAAACAUUGUUGAACAGCGUGCUUAGAAUUGGUGAGAGUACUGAUCUUCUUUCUUCUAUCUACUAUUUAAAUCCUUGAAAAGAUCCACAAAGCAAGAAAACCUCCAGAAGUGAAGGGAGGGGAAUAUAUCCCCAUUCCAUUACAGGCAGAAGCGGCAAAUUAACAUAAAAGGUAGAAAGAGAUAUAUUAAACUUUGAUUUAAAAUAUUUCAGUCUGGACAAAUCUAGGAACUAAAAAACUGUCAAGAUUAUACCCUAAAAAUUUCUGAUGGAAUUAUAAAAAUAUAUAACAAAAAUAACUUUUU